GCUCUGCUCCUUCAGAGAGAAUCUCCUCAGAAACAGGGCAGAUACUCACAGAGAGAAGAAACAGGAUCCGUCCAUCCGAGCUGAGGCAUCGGACUGUUUGAAUGCCGACCUUCACUGAGGACAUUAAUGCUGUUCGCUUGAGUUUGGUUCCAGUUCUGUUCUGUGGAUUUAUUUGCUGUUUUGUUGUUAAUUAGUGCAAUAAAAUGCAACCGGGGGUGCGCGACCACAGAGUCAAAGGUUCCGCUUACUUUGUUCUUUUACUCACCGAUAUUAACACAGGGCGACAUAUUAUAAAUGUACAAAUAAAGCUCUUAAUUACACAAAUUAAAAUAAAGAAUGGUCUUUUACUCAAUAAUACCAAAUGUGGUCGCACAUAUUUGGGUGAACCACACAUGUCUGCGUGCUGAAAGAGGACGUGCUGGUCUGACCCCCUCCUCCUUUCAG